rnacentral:rRNA from 1 species
UACGAAGGGGGCUAGCGUUACUCGGAUUGACUGGGCGUAAAGGGCGCGUAGGCGGUUCGUACAGUUGGGUGUGAAAUUCCUGGGCUCAACCCGGGGGCUGCAUUCAAUACGUGCGGGCUUGAGUUCGGAAGAGGGUCGUGGAAUUCCCAGUGUAGAGGUGAAAUUCGUAGAUAUUGGGAAGAACACCGGUGGCGAAGGCGGCGACCUGGUCCGAUACUGACGCUGAGGCGCGAAAGCGUGGGGAGCAAAC